UUAAGAAAAUCGAUACACUUUAUUAUCGUGAUAUUUUAUUUUGCAAUAUUGUAUUGAUUUUCAAAAACGCCAUUUAGAUUAAUUUUUUUU